rnacentral:rRNA from 1 species
CCUACGGGUGACAGCAGUGGGGAAUAUUGGGCAAUGGCCGCAAGCCUGACCCAGCAACGCCGCGUGAAGGAAGAAGGCUUUCGGGUUGUAAACUUCUUUUUUCAGGGACGAAGCACGUGACGGUACCUGAGGAAUAAGCCACGGCUAACUACGUGCCAGCAGCCGCGGUAAUCCGGAGGUGGCAAGCGUUAUCCGGAUUUACUGGGUGUAAAGGGCGUGUGGGCCGGAAGGCAAGUCAGAUGUGAAAACCAUGGGCUCAACCUGUGGCCUGCAUUUGAAACUGUUUUUCUUGAGUACUGGAGAGGCAGACGGAAUGCCUAGUGUAGCGGUGAAAUGCGUAGAUAUUAGGAGGAACACCAGUGGCGAAGGCAGUCUGCUGGAGAGCAACUGACGCUGAGGCGCGAAAGCGUGGGGAGCGAACAGGAUUAGAUACCCUUGUAGUC